UACGUAGGGUGCGAGCGUUAAUCGGAAUUACUGGGCGUAAAGCGUGCGCAGGCGGUUUUGUAAGCCAGAUGUGAAAUCCCCGGGCUCAACCUGGGAAUGGCAUUUGGGACUGCAAGGCUGGAGUACGGCAGAGGAGACUGGAAUUCCUGGUGUAGCAGUGAGAUGCGUAGAUAUCAGGAGGAAUACCGAUGGCGAAGGCAGGUCUCUGGGCUGAUACUGACGCUCAUGCACGAAAGCGUGGGGAGCAAACAGG
rnacentral:rRNA from 1 species